rnacentral:rRNA from 1 species
CCUACGGGCGGCAGCAGUGGGGAAUAUUGGACAAUGGGCGAAAGCCUGAUCCAGCCAUGCCGCGUGUGUGAAGAAGGCCUUCGGGUUGUAAAGCACUUUCAGUGGGGAAGAAAGCCUUGGGGCUAAUAUCCUCGAGGAAGGACAUCACCCACAGAAGAAGCACCGGCUAACUCCGUGCCAGCAGCCGCGGUAAUACGGAGGGUGCGAGCGUUAAUCGGAAUUACUGGGCGUAAAGCGCGCGUAGGCGGUCUGAUAAGCCGGUUGUGAAAGCCCCGGGCUCAACCUGGGAACGGCAUCCGGAACUGUCAGGCUAGAGUGCAGGAGAGGAAGGUAGAAUUCCCGGUGUAGCGGUGAAAUGCGUAGAGAUCGGGAGGAAUACCAGUGGCGAAGGCGGCCUUCUGGACUGACACUGACGCUGAGGUGCGAAAGCGUGGGUAGCAAACAGGAUUAGAUACCCCUGUAGUC